AAUUAGUUUUUUUAAUUAUAUAGGUGUGGUCAAUGGAAAAUCCACCAUCAUCUCACAGAAAAUGGUAUCACUUUAACAUCAGAAAGACUCCUUGUGCUAAGGACUCGCUCCUUAAUGGAAUAAUUAUCGGAGGAAUAGGAGGAGUGGCUUACUACCUAAAAUCAGGUGUGGUCAAGAGGUCAUGUGACAUAGCAGUGGGUGGGUUUAUUGUUACAGCAUUCAUUUGUUGGAACCUGUGUAUAUAUCAG